rnacentral:rRNA from 1 species
AUUGAACGCUGGCGGCAGGCCUAACACAUGCAAGUCGAACGAGUGGCGGACGGGUGAGUAAUGUCUGGGAAACUGCCCGAUGGCGGGGGAUAACUACUGGGAACGGUAGCUAAUACCGCAUACCAUCGGAUGUGCCCAGAUGGGAUUAGCUAGUAGGUGGGGUAAUGGUUCACCUAGGCGCCGAUCCCUAGCUGGUCUGAGAGGAGGACCAGCCACACUGGAACUGCGACACGGUCCAGACUCAUACGGUAGGUAGAGGGGGGGAAUAUGGCACAAUGGGCGAAAGCCUGAUGCAGGCAUGCCGCGUGUAUGAAGAAGGCCUUCGGGUUGUAAAGUACUUUCGGCGAGGAGGCGUUACUCGCAGAAGAAGCACCGGCUAACUCCGUGCCAGCGGCCGCGGUAAUAG